UACGUAGGGGGCAAGCGUUGUUCGGAUUUACUGGGCGUAAAGGGCGCGUAGGCGGCGUGACAAGUCACUUGUGAAAUCUCCGGGCUUAACUCGGAACGGCCAAGUGAUACUGUCGUGCUAGAGUACAGAAGGGGCAAUCGGAAUUCUUGGUGUAGCGGUGAAAUGCGUAGAUAUCAAGAGGAACACCUGAGGUGAAGACGGGUUGCUGGGCUGAUACUGACGCUGAGGCGCGAAAGCUAGGGUAGCAAACGGGAUUAGAAACCCGUGUAGUCC
rnacentral:rRNA from 1 species